GGGAUGAGCCCAGCACCGAAUCCCCCGGCAUGCAGCCGGUGGGAAAUGUGGUGUGUGGGACGCCAACUGUCGUCCGCGCUGGAGACCGAAGUCCUCCUGAUCGGGGCCUCUCCCACAGCGGGUGUCAGGCCUUUACUGGUCUCUGGCCGGGCGGCUGCGAGCGUCUCAGGAGUCGGGUUGUUUGGGAAUGCAGCCCAAAGCGGGUGGUAAACUCCAUCUAAG
rnacentral:rRNA from 1 species